CUCCAACGUCUCUCGGGCCAACUGCUGACACGUCUCCUCUGGGGAAGGGGCGGCCGGGGUGGUGACUGAGAAGGUCUACAGGCAGACCCCAGAGCCCCCAGCCUGUGGUGACAGCCCACCAGAAGGGGAACAGAAGCACCACAGGAUGUCAUUUGCCCAGCAAAUUGGUGUCGGGGCCCUGAGUGGCCCAGGGAUUGGGGCUGUGGCCCAAUCAGCACUGUGCAUCUGGACUCCUACGUCUUUAUUGAUAAAAAGCUUCUGGUCUUAGGCCCUUGA